GUCCGCAGGGGCCAGCCAGGCGUUAUUCAUGGCAUUGGCAUGUGAUUCCCGGCACCGGUGGGUGGCCGGGGCUGACCGGGAGCGUUUGCUGAUGCCCAGGGAGCCGAGGGGCAGCUGCACUGUGCCAGCAGCCCGGAGGUGCCAAGCUGCACCACGGGGUGCUUCAGCUUUUCCCGGGCCACAACACUGCACAGAACACCCAGCACCUUCGAGAUGAGCCUUGCCAACAGGAUGAAACCAGAUCUGCCAGUGAUUCCCGGGGGAGCGGCACAGCUCCCUGCCAGAUCUGUUCUUCGCCAGCCACUGGCAGCCAGCCCUUCCCACAAAGGCGUGGGGAGAACCAAGGGGAGGCUGGCACAGGCCCGUGCCUGGGGCUCCUGAGACCGAGCAUUUACUCAGAGCUAGGUCUUGACAUUCAAAACUUUUUUUAAAAUUUCCAUUUCCUAAAAAAUACCACAAACAGAAACAUCACAGUGAACUAGCCCAGCACUUCCUCCAGUGCCAGGGCAACACGACACCUGGCUCGGUGGCACGCAAAGAGUUGUGGCUUCAGCAGCAGCCACACACACUCUGCAAAGGACCAGGUACACCUACACUGGCCUGAAGCUGAUGUGACACGGUAACAGAGUAGUGCAAGGACAUCUCUGGCCACAGGGGGUACAGACAGUGGUCCCUGCCAUGCACUCCCAUCACGCAGUCUUCUUUGAGAGCAACCCCAUUUCUCCUCCCGCACAUCCCCCUUCCAAAACACUCCCUUGGGUUUCAAAUUACUUCCAAAACACCCUGUCCACUGCCAGGUCUAAUCCCCCUUCGCAUGAGCAAGGUCCUCAUUGCCUGCCUGUGCUGCAGGUGCCAGGGAAGGGAGGUGCAGAGCAGUGCAAAUUAGCUCAGGACCACCCCAAAUCAGGCUGCCGGGUAUUUGGCACAGAAAGCGAGGUGCUGGAGCCUAGUGAAGGCAAAGUCUGCAGCCCCCCGGGAGCCAGGGGGAAGGGUAGAAACAACUUCCCGCUUCAGCAGGGAAGGUGAUGGACCUUGAUCCGCAAGGAUUGUGCCACCACAGGUGCCAUGGCUGCUUUGGGAUUCCCGGAGCAGAGGACAUCCCGCACGUUUGCAUCACCCCACUGCUUGGAUUAAUCUCCAGCUCCAAGCCCCCAGUUUCCCUGGCUGCCACGGGCCAAGGCUCCCGUGGGAAGCAGCUCACAUGGCCGGACCGUGGCUAAAGCGGCCGGACCGUGGCUAACAGAGCCGCCUUUGAAGUCCGGCCGUCCCCAGGCCCCGGGGAGCUGGGCCGGCUCUGAAACGCACGCUCACAGCAGCCAGAGCCGCGGGAGCAUCGCGGCCAUCCAAGCCUCCCACUGCGGGUCAUCCCGACCGGCUCCUUCCCAUAAAGUCAUAAAUCCACCUCCCGGGAAUAACGCUGCUAAACCUGGGAUUAGGCUCUCCUGGAAAGGGGAAUUAGGUGCAGACCCCUCGGACCAGCGAGGAAAGGACUUGCUGCUGUUGGUGGAACAAAGAGUCUUUUGUCCGCAUUUGACGUUAUCAGGAGUUAUUUUUAGGUCAACGCCUGCACUUGCUGGUGUUGUCGGGAUUAUCUGUAAAUCGGCAGACCUUCAAAGACACUGCCUGAGCACGAA